GACGUAGGGUGCGAGCGUUUGUCCGGAUUUAUUGGGCGUAAAGAGCUCGUAGGCGGCUCGUCGCGUCGACCGUGAAAACCCGCGGCUUAACUGCGGGCUUGCGGUUGAUACGGGCGGGCUAGAGUUCGGUAGGGGAGACUGGAAUUCCUGGUGUAGCGGUGAAAUGCGCAGAUAUCAGGAGGAACACCGGUGGCGAAGGCGGGUCUCUGGGCCGAUACUGACGCUGAGGAGCGAAAGCAUGGGGAGCGAACAGG
rnacentral:rRNA from 1 species